GAUGAACGCUGGCGGCGUGCUUAAUACAUGCAAGUCGAACGAAGCGCCUCUCCCGAAGAUAGACCCAGCUUGCUGGGGAUUGAUUCACCUGAGGUGACUGAGUGGCGGACGGGUGAGUAACGCGUGGGUAACCUGCCUUAUACAGGGGGAUAACAGUUGGAAACGACUGCUAAUACCGCAUAAGCGCACAGUACCGCAUGGUACAGUGUGAAAAACUCCGGUGGUAUAAGAUGGACCCGCGUCUGAUUAGCUAGUUGGUGAGGUAACGGCUUACCAAGGCAGCGAUCAGUAGCCGACUUGAGAGAGUAAUCGGCCACAUUGGGACUUAGACACGGCCCAAACUCCUACGGGAGGCAGCAGUAGGGAAUAUUGCACAAUGGGGGAAACCCUGAUGCAGCGACGCCGCGUGAAGGAUGAAGUAUUUCGGUAUGUAAACUUCUAUCAGCAGGGAAGAAAAUGACGGUACUUGACUAAGAAGCCCCGGCUAAAUACGUGCCAGCCGCCGCAGUAA
rnacentral:rRNA from 1 species